rnacentral:tRNA from 1 species
GGCUGAUUGUGGCUCAGCGGUAAAGUGCUCGCCUAGCAUGCGCAGGGGCCCUGGGUUCAAUCCUCAGCGCCA